rnacentral:rRNA from 1 species
AGUCGAACGGAACUGUUUUGAAAGAUUUCUUCGGAAUGAAUUUGAUUUAGUUUAGUGGCGGACGGGUGAGUAACGCGUGAGUAACCUGCCUUCAAGAGGGGGAUAACAUUCUGAAAAGAAUGCUAAUACCGCAUGACAUAUCGGAACCACAUGGUUCUGAUAUCAAAGAUUUUAUCGCUUGAAGAUGGACUCGCGUCCGAUUAGUUAGUUGGUGAGGUAACGGCUCACCAAGACCGCGAUCGGUAGCCGGACUGAGAGGUUGAACGGCCACAUUGGGACUGAGACACGGCCCAGACUCCUACGGGAGGCAGCAGUGGGGGAUAUUGCGCAAUGGGGGCAACCCUGACGCAGCAACGCCGCGUGAAGGAUGAAGGUUUUCGGAUUGUAAACUUCUUUUAUUAAGGACGAAACUUGACGGUACUUAAUGAAUAAGCUCCGGCUAACUACGUGCCAGCAGCCGCGGUAAUACGUAGGGAGCAAGCGUUGUCCGGAUUUACUGGGUGUAAAGGGUGCGUAGGCGGCUUUGCAAGUCAGAUGUGAAAUCUAUGGGCUCAACCCAUAAACUGCAUUUGAAACUGUAGAGCUUGAGUGAAGUAGAGGCAGGC